rnacentral:lncRNA from 1 species
GAAAAAGCUCUAAAACUUAAAAAAAGGCUCUGUUUUCUCAAAACCGCAUCAGCUCUCUUCUGCCCUAAUCUCCGCCUGCUAUCUAAUUUAGAGCCUAUCUCGCGUGUUCAUCUGUGUAUUGAGAAAACACAGAUUGUGAAUCUGGUGUUGUGUGCAAAUUCAACUCUGCCCUAGUUUCCAUCUCGCUUGUUUGAGAAUACAAGGUAUGCCCUUUCUUUCAUCGCCCGUUCUGUUUCUUCUCUAACUGUUGUUUUAGUGAAGUUUAGUUAUUUGUUUAAUCCCUAUUGCAGUUUUGCUUUUACAUCUGAAAAGAUUUCAACUAAAUCCAUUUAGCGUUGAGAGUAUCAGAAAAAAUCAUCAUAUUAACUCUGGAAGUAUAAGGUACAAGAGAAUGGUCUCAAGAUGUCGUUCUUCUAAGUAUUUGAUUCAAUAGCUUUUAUGGUGGAUCUGUGCUAAAUUUAUAAUUAUUCGGGAAAUCUUCUUCUCUACUUGAUCACGUUGGUAAUUCUUUGUCUUUCUUGGUGGCUCGGUUGCCUCAACUAGUAAUUGAGAUAUGUAAUCUUGAACAAUGUACUCUAUAUUGAUCUGAACAUGUUAAUAGACGAUGUAUGGAACUCUUGUCCUUGACGGAGUUUCUGCUCUUUAGUCUGGGGAGGGGGAAUCUCCUCCAUCAUUUCUUAGAAGUUCUGAUCUGAUUUUAGCAUAGAUACCUGGUGGAAUUCAAGUUGAUGCUUGUACUAAUGAUUGCAUGUUAUACUGGAAGUAGGAUAGCUUACUUGAUUCUUGCAAAGUUUGUGGUGCGUCUAGAUGGAAAAUAGAUAGACAUAGCGGGGAAACACGGAAUAAAAAAGGUAAGAAGAUAACAUCAAAUACUUUGCACUAUUUUUCAUUAACGCCUAGGCUUCAGAGGUUGUUUAUGUCUACAAAGACAUCUACAGAAACAAGGAAUAAAAAUGUGAGCUAAAGAACAAUGUGAGCUUGAAGAAAAUGAAUUAGAACAAGCACAUAUAUACAUACUGAAGAAUUGUGAUGAAGUCAUACCAUAUCUCAAGUAUGGAGAGUUCCUUCAUAUUGUCUCAUUUUUCAUAUUUCCUUUAGGGUAAUUUUUUUAUAUGACAUUUAUGGUUCACUUCAAAUUUGUAGAGAGUUUGCACAAA